rnacentral:rRNA from 1 species
AUACGGAGGGUGCAGGCGUUACUCGGAAUCACUGGGCGUAAAGCGCGCGCAGGCGGCUUGAUAAGUUGGAGGUGAAAGCCUACGGCUCAACCGUAGAACUGCAUCCAAAACUGUCAAGCUAGAGUCUGGGAGGGGAAGAUGGAAUUAGUUGUGUAGGGGUAAAAUCCGUAGAGAUAACUAGGAAUACCAAAAGCGAAGGCGAUCUUCUGGAACAGUACUGACGCUGAGGCGCGAAAGCGUGGGGAGCAAACAGGAUUAGAAACCCCAGUAGUCC